GGUCAUCCUUUUUUAAAAAGAAUUGCCUUAGACUUCUGUGAUGUACUAUUGCUAGGCUUUAUCUGUAUACUACACUGUCUUUACCGUGGGUUGCAUGGAACAGAAUAAGAAAUGAGUCCUUAAAAAAAGAAGGGAAGAAGGGGAGGGAGAGGGAAGGAGGAAGGAAGUCUUUAUUGUCAUAAAUUCUAGAUUUGAAGUCUUUGGUACAUUUUAAGAUAUAUAUCAAAAUUAGGGCUAUUUUUUACACAUAGAAAUGAUGUUUUUGAAUACUCAGUAUGUUCAUUGCUUGGUAGCAGAAUUUUAGUGUAGAAUAUAGUUUCUAAAUACUCAACAGUAUAAAGCAAUAUAUAGCACCCAUGGGGGAGAUGGACGUUAUUUUAUUUUCAAGUUCAUCCUUAAACCUAGGGGUUGUUUUCUUAUCACUAUAUAGUAACCCUUUGGUGUCCUGCACGUAGUAAGUGCUGUUUAUUAACUUUCUUAUUCAAAUUAAAUAAGAGGGACUUCCCUGGUGGCGCAGUGGUUAAGAAUCCGCCUGCCAAUGCAGGGGACACGGGUUCAGUCCCUGGUCCAGGAAGAUCCCACGUGCCGUGGAGCAGCUCAGCCCGUGCGCUCGCUGCAACUAGAGAAAGCCCGCGUGCAGCAGCGAAGACCCAAUGCGGACAAAAAUUAAAAUUAAUUAAUUAAUUAAAUACACAUUCUUAAAAAAAAUAAAAAUAAAAAAAUCAAAUAAGAGCUGCAAAGAACGUGACUCAGCUAAAACAUACUUCUUAUGUCCUGCCACCCGAACAUACGAUUAGGAUAUAAUGUGUUUCAAGGAACUGAUUCAUUAGGAAAACAUACAGUACAAGGCAGGGUAAUCAUAUGUCCUAUAAAAGUUUAAAUAAAGAGAUGGGGGGUGUAAGGAUGGGAGGAAUAUUAUUUCUGUGGGCAGAUGUAGCCUAUAAUGUGAGUAAGCACAUGCUGUAUGUGCCUAGCACAGUGCUCCAUACACGUGAAUAAAUAAUCCUAGUCCUGUUCUGUUUUUUGCAGGGUCCUAUCAGUGGCGUGAAUAGAGAUAUUUCAAUCCUUCAGUGCCAUGGAGAUUUGGAUCUUUUAGUUCCCCUAAUGUUUGGUUCUCUUACUGCUGAAAGGCUAAAGACAUUGGUAAAUCCAAGCAAUGUAACCUUCAAAACCUAUGCAGGCAUGAUGCACAGUUCAUGUCAGCAGGAAAUGAUGGAUAUCAAGCAGUUCAUUGAUAAACGCCUGCCUCCCAUGGAUGACGUCACCGAGAGGCCUGUGGAGAAGUGCACGCCAGCGUCAUCGCCGUAGAGGAUAAAGGCUUCCCGUGCCCGGCCUUGAAACUUCCGAUGUGUGCAGCGUUAAAAUGUUUCGCAAAUACACACCAAUGACACAGACUAA